rnacentral:rRNA from 1 species
AGCGAACGCUGGCGGCAGGCCUAACACAUGCAAGUCGAACGAACCUUUCGGGGUUAGUGGCGGACGGGUGAGUAACACGUGGGAACGUGCCUUAGGUUCGGAAUAACUCAGGGAAACUUGUGCUAAUACCGAAUGUGCCCUUCGGGGGAAAGAUUAAUCGCCUUUAGAGCGGCCCGCGUCUGAUUAGCUAGUUGGUUGAGGUAAUGGCUCACCAAGGCGACGAUCAGUAGCUGGUCUGAGAGGAUGAUCAGCCACAUUGGGACUGAGACACGGCCCAAACUCCUACGGGAGGCAGCAGUGGGGAAUCUUGCGCAAUGGGCGAAAGCCUGACGCAGCCAUGCCGCGUGAAUGAUGAAGGUCUUAGGAUUGUAAAAUUCUUUCACCGGGGACGAUAAUGACGGUACCCGGAGAAGAAGCCCCGGCUAACUUCGUG